ensembl:lncRNA
GUGAUCUGAGCUAGAACUUUAUCAGGACUAAACUGGGUCUAAACCGGGCCUAAACCGGUUCUAAACUGGGCCGAAACCAGGUCUUGAUUGGGUGUGGACCAGGACCAGACCAGGACCAGACCAAGACCAGUUCUAGACCACCUGUAGUCCGGACUCAGGAGGAUGCUGGUUCUACUCCUCACGGCUCUGGUCCUCCUGGUGUGUCUGGCUCUGCUGUCCUCCCUCUGUUUGCACUGCUACAAGAGACCCAUGGUUUCAAUCCGUCAGACCCGCACGUCAGAGGACACAUACAUCCCGUCAUCACAAUUCCUGAUGAACAGACCUAGUGAUUACUACUCCUUCUACUAAUAUUGCUACUGCUACCGCCUCUACUAAUGCUACUACUGCUACUACUACUACUGCUACUGCUACUGCUACUACUACUACUACGGCUGCUGCUGCUACUGCUACUGCUACUGCUACUGCUAUUACUACUACUGCUACUACUACUGCUGCUACUGCUAAUACUACUGCUACUAUUACUACUGCUGCUGCUGCUACUAGCACUAACACUACUAGUGCUACUACUACUCACUUACUGUUUCUUGUAUAUUUCAGUGCAGUACUCUGUACACCAGAACUAUGUCCAUCCUCCAUCAAAUCUCCUCUCUCCUCAUUUUUCAGGGGAGGGGUCUCAGAGACCCGCACGUCCUUCCGUCACCCCCACAGAGACAGAGAGCAACAACAGCUACGAGAACACAGGGCCGUGUGCAGACAGUGAGGAGGAAGUCCCUGACCCUGGAUACAUAGUGGUGCUCCCCGAAACAGCACCCCCUGUGGCCAAAAUCAAUCGCACAUCCACCACCAGCUCAGAGAGCGUUGGCAGCGACGAGGACGCAGAACCUAACUAUGUGAACUUGGGCGACCCGGAGAGCUCCUUUGUUUCGCCACAUGAUCAGCUGGACAUCAAUGAGAGUCAAGACUCAAGCGAGCACUCUGACAGUGAUGAAGAGGGGGACUACGUGAACCAGCCCUCGUUUCAGAAGUCGGAGGCGGAGCCCAGUGCAUGAUGGGACGGAUUGUAGUUUUUUCUGACACUUCCUGAGAAUCUUUUUUGUUUCUGUUUGUUUACACGAGCUGUGCCCAAGUGAAUAAAUGUUUAAGA